rnacentral:rRNA from 1 species
AGAGUUUGAUCCUGGCUCAGGAUGAACGCUGGCGGCGUGCCUAACACAUGCAAGUCGAGCGAUUCUCUUCGGAGAAGAGCGGCGGACGGGUGAGUAACGCGUGGGUAACCUGCCCUGUACACACGGAUAACAUACCGAAAGGUAUGCUAAUACGAGAUAAUAUGCUUUUAUCGCAUGGUAGAAGUAUCAAAGCUCCGGCGGUACAGGAUGGACCCGCGUCUGAUUAGCUAGUUGGUAAGGUAACGGCUUACCAAGGCGACGAUCAGUAGCCGACCUGAGAGGGUGAUCGGCCACAUUGGAACUGAGACACGGUCCAAACUCCUACGGGAGGCAGCAGUGGGGAAUAUUGCACAAUGGGCGAAAGCCUGAUGCAGCAACGCCGCGUGAGCGAUGAAGGCCUUCGGGUCGUAAAGCUCUGUCCUCAAGGAAGAUAAUGACGGUACUUGAGGAGGAAGCCCCGGCUAACUACGUGCCAGCAGCCGCGGUAAUACGUAGGGGGCUAGCGUUAUCCGGAAUUACUGGGCGUAAAGGGUGCGUAGGUGGUUUCUUAAGUCAGAGGUGAAAGGCUACGGCUCAACCGUAGUAAGCCUUUGAAACUGGGAAACUUGAGUGCAGGAGAGGAGAGUGGAAUUCCUAGUGUAGCGGUGAAAUGCGUAGAUAUUAGGAGGAACACCAGUUGCGAAGGCGGCUCUCUGGACUGUAACUGACACUGAGGCACGAAAGCGUGGGGAGCAAACAGGAUUAGAUACCCUGGUAGUCCACGCCGUAAACGAUGAGUACUAGCUGUCGGAGGUUACCUCCUUCGGUGGCGCAGCUAACGCAUUAAGUACUCCGCCUGGGAAGUACGCUCGCAAGAGUGAAACUCAAAGGAAUUGACGG